UACGUAGGGUGCGAGCGUUGUCCGGAAUUAUUGGGCGUAAAGAGCUCGUAGGCGGCCUGUUGCGUCGGUUGUGAAAGCCCGGGGCUUAACCCCGGGUCUGCAGUCGAUACGGGCAGGCUAGAGUUCGGUAGGGGAGAUCGGAAUUCCUGGUGUAGCGGUGAAAUGCGCAGAUAUCAGGAGGAACACCGGUGGCGAAGGCGGUUCUCUGGGAAUGUCCUGACGCUGAGGAGCGAAAGUGUGGGGAGCGAACAGG
rnacentral:rRNA from 1 species